CAGGGUUCGAUUCCGGAGAAGGAGCUUGAGAAUUGGCUACUACAUCUAAGGAAGGCAGCAGGCGUGCAAAUUACCCAAUCCCGAUUCGGGGAGGUAGUGACAAAAAAUAACAAUACCGGGCCUUUUUGGGCUUGGUAAUUGGAAUGAGGGAGAGUUAAACGGACCAUCGAGUAUCCAUUGGAGGGCAAGUCUGGUGCCAGCAGCUGCGGUAAUACCAGCUCCAAUAGCGUAUAUUAAAGUUGUUGCAGUUAAAAAGCUCGUAGUUGGACUUGUGUGCGCUGUCCGCGGGUGGCCUGCGCCCAAAAGGGCGUUUCGGUUCGGCCCCGGUGGCGCCUUGAAAUCUGCAGCUGGGGGGACGUUGGCCUUAACUGGUCGGCGACCGCACGCCGGCUGCUCGGUUACUGUGAGAAAAUUAGAGUGUUCAAGGCAGGCAUUGGGUGCAAUUGAAUACAUUAGCAUGGAAUAAUAAAAUAUGGCUCCUGCCGUAUUCUGUUGGUUUUGACUGGUGGGAGUAAUGAUUGAUAGGGACGGUUGGGGGUGCUAGUAUUGAGCGGCCAGAGGUGAAAUUCAUGGAUUCGCUCAAGACUAACUUAUGCGAAAGCAUUCACCAAGGACGUCCUCUUUAAUCAAGAACGAAAGUUGGGGGAUCGAAGACGAUCAGAUACCGUCGUAGUCUCAACCAUAAACUAUGUCGACUUGGGAUCGGCGGUAGUUUUUUCAUUAAGACACUGUCGGGACCACGGGAGAAAUCAAAGUGUCUGGACUCUGGGGGAAGUAUGGUCGCAAGGCUGAAACUUGAAGGAAUUGACGGAAGGGCACCACCAGGAGUGGAGCCUGCGGCUUAAUUUGACUCAACACGGGGAAACUUACCAGGUCCAGAGAUGUAGAGGAUUGACAGAUUGAAGCUCUUUCUUGAUCACUUCGGUGGUGGUGCAUGGCCGUUCUUAGUUGGUGGAGUGAUUUGUCUGGUUAAUUCCGUUAACGAACGAGACCUCAGCCUGCUAGUGUAGUCGGCUGGAUUGCCUUUGGCGAUCCGUGAUUUCGACUUCUUAGAGGGACAAUCGACGCGCAGUCGAUGGAAGUUUGAGGCAAUAACAGGUCUGUGAUGCCCUUAGAUGUUCUGGGCCGCACGCGCGCUACACUGCUGGGCUCAGCGAGUUUUACUUGGCCGAGAGGCCCGGUUAAUCUUGUGAAAUCCCAGCGUGCUUGGGCUCGCCUCCUGCAACUGGAGGCGCCAACGAGGAAUUCCUAGUAGACGCAGGUCAUCAACCUGCAUCGAUUACGUCCCUGCCCUUUGUACACACCGCCCGUCGUUCCAUAAGAGUGAGGCAUCCGGUGAAUUCUCGGGAGAGCCUGGGCGUGGCCAGCAAUGGUCUGCUCGGGUUUGAACUUGCAUAAACUUGGUGCCUAUGAUUAGGGAAAAGUCGUAACAAGGUU
rnacentral:rRNA from 1 species